GCGGCGGGCGCCCCGAUCCUCGCCUGGGGCGGAGACGCCGCGGGAGAGGGGAGCGCCGAGCGCGCGUCCCCUCCGCCACAUUCCGUCCGUCCCAUUCAGUGCCCGCCCGCGAUGUGCGGACGGCCGACGGGGAUGUCGAGUGUGUGCCGUGCGGUGUCAGUGUCGUCUGCCGUCUCCUCUUCCGACCUGAAGCAUUUGAGAAUCUCGGCUCACCAAUACUACACCAAUACUACUACUGUACUACUACUGUACACCAAUACUACUACUGUAUGCGAUGCAAGGCUCGACGGGCGACAUCCUCGCUCAAGAUGUGUACGAGUAUAGCUGGAUGCAGACGGAACGGCGGCCUCGACGACAAUGGUGACAUGACGUGACGUCAACGUGUGAUGAUGUGAUGUGACUGUGACGUGUGGAUGACUCGAACAGUAAAGGGCUGUUGAUAUGUGUUCUCAGCUCUACAUUUUUUAUGAAUACAUAUUGAUUUUGACGUUUA